rnacentral:rRNA from 1 species
GACGAACGCUGGCGGCGUGCUUAACACAUGCAAGUCGAACGGAAAGGCCCUGCUUUUGUGGGGUGCUCGAGUGGCGAACGGGUGAGUAACACGUGAGUAACCUGCCCUUGACUUUGGGAUAACUUCAGGAAACUGGGGCUAAUACCGGAUAGGAGCUCCUGCUGCAUGGUGGGGGUUGGAAAGUUUCGGCGGUUGGGGAUGGACUCGCGGCUUAUCAGCUUGUUGGUGGGGUAGUGGCUUACCAAGGCUUUGACGGGUAGCCGGCCUGAGAGGGUGACCGGCCACAUUGGGACUGAGAUACGGCACAGACUCCUAGGGGAGGCAGCAGUGGGGAAUAUUGCACAAUGGGCGGAAGCCUGAUGCAGCAACGCCGCGUGCGGGAUGACGGCCUUCGGGUUGUAAACCGCUUUCGCCUGUGACGAAGCGUGAGUGACGGUAAUGGGUAAAGAAGCACCGGCUAACUACGUG